rnacentral:sRNA from 1 species
GGCUUCCGUGCAGCUCUGCUUUCACUUUACUGCCUGAGACCAUGGGCGCUCUCCUGAGUGGUGGCCAGGAUGGCCCGGAGCCCGCGCAGCCCCAGCCUCCAGCGCCGCAGGGUCCGCAGCAGCCUCAGCCGGAACCUGGCCCGUGGGGGCCACUGGACGACGUGCGCUUUCUAAUCGCCUGCACGUCCUGGUACUGACCCGGCCACCCCUGGCCUUCAUGCCCUCCUGGGCCUGGCCUGGCUUUUAUCUCCUCACCCUGUGAUUUCCUGUCUUACUCCCUCUGGGCAGAGAUUCAAGAAAGAUCGCGGAGACUGAAAGUCCCUCAGGGCCACCUCAGAGAAUUGCACCUCAGCUUCAGACUUGACAGACCCCCGAACCAGCUCAUUCCCACGCCCCCUUUCAGCUCUGUCCUUGGGCUGAUUUCCUUAAGAGGAAGAGCCAGGAUCAGAUGAGGCGUCCUGGCAGGCUCUUGAUGCUGUUGAAUCCUGGUUUCCCCCUCGCUAGAACUGAGCUGCUGCCUGGCCAUAGCCCCAUGUGCCCUGUCUCCAGAGAAGUCUUGCCACAAUGACCCUCCCGUACUCCUGAGGUUCCUGGGUGACGGGUUGGGGUGGGGUGGGGAGGACAGGACAUUGAUUGCUGGUUAGAAGAUGCACGAGGCAACUGCAGAAGUACACUCCCAGGGUACCCUUUUCUCCCUGAAACUUCUUACGGGCACACAUAUGCCCUGGUCUUUGUUCCCAUACCCCAGGGGAAAAAACACUGUAUUUCUGUUUUAUUUAGAAAUGAUUUAAAAAACAUUGUACAAAGGCUGAUCAGUUUAAAAUGUGACCGACACUGAGAUGCUGUGAUGUCACCCAGGCCGAGGGGAAGCUGAGCUCUGGGGGCUCUAGUACUUUGCCCCUCUGACUGCUCUGACCUGGGCUGAUGGACAAACAGAUGACCGCAGGCAGAAGAAUCCAAGAUUGGAAGCCUCUAGGCUGAGCCCUCUCUGGGCCCGGCCCUGUGUCCCUCACAUCUGCAGCCUGGGCUGCCUGCCUCCAUCCCCUGCUCUUUCGCAACUGGCCUUGGAAUGCCAGGAGCCAACAGGGAGCCUGCGGGGCCUAGAGCUUUCAAGAAGUGAGCACCAACCUGAGGAGAGGGACCAGGGGACUGGGGGAGGGAGGCCCAGAGGAGAGGACUAGAAGAGACAGUUUUCUCGGACCCUGGAAGGGCCCACUGAUGGGGACACAAGACCCAGCCAGGGCCACCUGGAUGGCAGGGGCAGAUAAUAAGACCUCCUUGUGCUUCAUCUGAGGGUAAGAUGAGUGCUACCCUCAGCCUCUCUCAGAGCCUACAGGAGUUUCAUGUGAGUGGACAGCUGUGAGCUAAUAAAGUGCUUUGCAAAGUAUAAAAAAAAAAAAAAA